UACGUAGGGUGCAAGCGUUUGUCCGGAAUUAUUGGGCGUAAAGAGCUCGUAGGUGGUUUGUCGCGUUGUUCGUGAAAACUCACAGCUUAACUGUGGGCGUGCGGGCGAUACGGGCAGACUUGAGUACUGCAGGGGAGACUGGAAUUCCUGGUGUAGCGGUGGAAUGCGCAGAUAUCAGGAGGAACACCGGUGGCGAAGGCGGGUCUCUGGGCAGUAACUGACGCUGAGGAGCGAAAGCGUGGGGGAGCGAACAGG
rnacentral:rRNA from 1 species